rnacentral:rRNA from 1 species
GACGAAGGAUGCAAGCGUUAUCCGGAUUCAUUGGGUUUAAAGGUGCGUAGGCGGACUGAUAAGUCAGUGGUGAAAUCUCUUUGCUUAACAAAGAAACUGCCAUUGAUACUGUCGGUCUAGAGUAUAGAUGACGUUGGCGGAAUAUGACAUGUAGUGGUGAAAUACUUAGAUAUGUCAUAGAACACCGAUUGCGAAGGCAGCUAACGAAACUAUAACUGACGCUGAGGCACGAAAGUGCGGGGAUCAAACAGG